rnacentral:lncRNA from 10 species
CUUUUCUAAUUAUAGUGUUUUUAUUUUUCAAUCAAUAAUAUGAGCAGUUGAAGUUUUCUCUACUCUAACCCACACCCACAUAAAUAAUCUAAGAUAUGGUAAGAGGAUUGAAGACAUAAGGAAAGAGAUUUAAUAAAGAAUUUUUGAUAUUGGAUAGUUGACAACUUUCAAGUAGCACUUCCCCCUUCACUUCUGUCCCACAUCUGGACAAACUGGAUAAAAAGUUAUUGGUGCUCCCUUCUUUGGCAAUAUAGAGAAGCUCAAACCAUGUAAACUCAGUCAUGUUUGUGGGAACCCUCACCUAACCAUGAUACAACCCUAAGCUAUUGCCCCUUUUUAUUUUCUUUCUCUUUCAAGCCAUUUUGGGACCAGCCUGAGAGCAUACUCUGCUCUACCCAGAAAGCUCAGUGUGGUACCAGGAAUAAUGUGGGAGGCUGGAUUGAAGUCUGGGCCAGGAACAACGGUAAUUGUGGGAGACUCAACAAAGAGUGAGUAUAGCUGAAGGAGCCGGGAAGCAGAAAGUAUAUGCGUCAGUUACUUCAGGCCAUCUGGG